rnacentral:tRNA from 1 species
GCCGGAGUGGCGGAGAAGGCAGACGCGGCGCACUCAAAAUGCGUUGCCCGAGAGGGCGUGUGGGUUCGAAUCCCACCUCCGGCACCU